rnacentral:rRNA from 1 species
CUCGUAGGCGGUUUGUCACGUCGGGAGUGAAAACCAGGUGCUUAACACCUGGCCUGCUUCCGAUACGGGCAGACUAGAGGUAUGCAGGGGAGAACGGAAUUCCUGGUGUAGCGGUGAAAUGCGCAGAUAUCGGAAGGAACACCAGUGGCGAAGGCGGCUUCCUGGCCCAUUACUGACACUGAGGUACGAAAGCGUGGGGAGGCAAAACA